GCCACUGCUCUGGAGAAGGAAGUGUGAGAGUAUUCAACAAUCGUCCUAACUACCUGCUGCCACCCUGAAUCACUUUCUUUGUUGAUCUAAGCAUGAGCUCACAACAGCCCCAGAAUGCACCAAGAUCUCCGGACAGGUAGGAGGGGUCAACGGGGGCCACAGUUUAAAAGAGUGCGCACCAAGAGCUAAAAGUAGUUUUUCUUGGUUGUCUUUUUAGGAGCAGAAGCCCUAAAAUAAGACAUGAACGGAGAAAGAAGUCCCGCCACCGCUCAAAAUCUCCGCAGGCGUCUGGCUCUCGGGCAACGCAUAGGUCCCAUUCCAGCCCAGCACGCAAAUCCAGUCACUCUGCGACUGUAGCAGAGCAAGAUGGGU